rnacentral:tRNA from 1 species
UCCUUGGUGGCUCAGAUAGUAAAGCGUCUGCCUACAAUGUGGGAGACCCAGGUUCAAUCCCUGGGCCGGGAA